CUCUCUCUUUCUUUCUAAACUGGUCUCAAAAUACAAAUUAUAGGACCUGAGGUUCUUCCCCUCACUCUUCUAUUCUAGAUUCCUCUCUUCUAUCUUGGCUAACACCUCUUACCUUUUCCAGUUAGAUUCCAUGUUUGAAGACUAAAGAUUAAAAUGCUUUUUCUUCUUGUCUGAGGAUUCAGAAGGUCUCAAGUCUAUCACAGACCUGUUUUUUUUAUCUACAUACAUUGCAUCAGCUCCAAGCCUGCAGCCCUUAAUUCUUCAGACCAUGCUUUCUACAUUGGUUUUCAGUGGAAAACCAGUAUGUUCAAGAAUCCAGAAUCCCAGAAAAGAUCAAUCUCGCUAUCAUUCAAUCACCAAAAUACAGUCUUGUCAACAGCAAAAUCCCAAUACCGAGAAUUCUGUCAGCAAGUUUUGGACAGGGCCUAGGCCUAAACCCCACCUCAUAAACCCUUUGAUAACAACUACUGAACAGAACCCUGUUGAUGAAGCCGCUAAAAAUGGAGCCUUUGAGGGAACAAAUGGUUCUCUGCAAAAGGGUUUUCAGCAGAUGUUGGUUUUGUGUGGAUUCGGAUACUGGGUGAAUGGUUUCAGGUGCUUUCCUUGGUUGGGACUCAACUUUCAUAUGGCUAGUAAUCUUUGUAUGCAGCCUUCAAAUCUGCAGAUGGUACAGAAUUUUGGUAGUCUUCCAAUGGUGGCCAAGCCUCUGUAUGGGGUAUUGUCUGAUGCUCUGUUUAUUGGGCGGGCUCGUAGAAUACCUUAUGUGUCCAUUGGAGUCUUUCUUCAGGUUCUGUCUUGGGGAUCGUUGGCAUUAAUUCCAGUUGCAAGUGAAGCUCUUUCAAUUCUUCUUGCAUGUGUUCUGCUCAGUAAUCUUGGGGCAUCUAUUGCAGAAGUUGCAAAGGAUGCUCUUGUUGCAGAGUACGGUCAAAAAAACAAGAUGCCUGGUCUGCAAUCAUAUGCAUUCAUGGCCUUAGCAGCUGGUGGGAUUCUAGGGAACUUGUUAGGUGGUUAUUUCUUACUACAAACUCAGCAACCCAAGUCCAUGUUCCUAUCAUUUUCUGUUUUACUGGCUUUUCAACUUACCAUAACUCUGGGAAUGAAAGAGGAUUCUCUUGGUUUACCUCAAACAUCAAGUCACUCUUUGGUGAGGAAAUCAAUCUCAGAAAGUAUUAGAAAACAGUACUUUGAUCUUCUGGUUGCGGCAAGGGAGGAGAGUAUCUCUCGUCCUCUCAUCUGGAUUGUUGCUUCCACCGCAACUGUUCCAAUCUUGUCAGGCUCCAUAUUUUGCUAUCAGACGCAAUGCCUAAAUCUUGAUCCAUCAGUUAUAGGGAUGUCAAAGGUGAUUGGCCAGUUAAUGCUUCUUGUGAUGACUGUAUCGUAUGAUCGCCUUUGGAAACAUGUUCCCAUGAGAAAACUAGUUGGCAUUGUGCAGAUUUUGUAUGCUUCCUCAGUUCUUCUUGAUCUUAUACUUGUGACACAGGUGAAUCUUCGGUGGGGGAUUCCUAAUGAGGCUUUUGUUUUUUGCUUUUCUGGAGUAGCAGAAACUCUAGCACAAUUUAAGCUCUUGCCUUUCCAUGUGCUUUUUGCAAGUUUAGCUCCACCUGGCUGUGAAGGAUCUUUAAUGUCUUUUCUGGCUUCGGCUUUGUGCUUGUCGUCAAUAGCUAGUGGUUUCUUUGGUGUUGGAUUUGCCUCUGUUAUUGGCAUCACAUCUAAUGAUUACACAAGUUUACCUACCGGGAUUGUCAUGCAAUUUCUUGCAGCAUUACUGCCAUUGCUCUGGAUUAAUCGAGUGCCUGCAACACAUCCUUCAGCUGAAAAGGAAAGGAAGAAAGGUAGGAGUAUGAGGACCCGGAGAACUAGAAGGGUGGGGAGAGUUGGAUUUGGUUCAAUAUACUCUUAUAGACGUGAAAGAGAACCUGACUUUCUGAGGUGAGAAUCUAGUGCAAAGUUCUGGUGGUAUUGUACAAUUAUCCAUGAACAGAAGCACAGAAUUCAGGACGCUCCUCAUCUCCCCAGAUUUCAACUCAUCAAGUUUCUGUGGGAUAGGUGCGUUUUGCUUUUGAAACGUCAUAGAAGACAUUGGCAAAUUCAAUCUUAAGCGAGCUCUGAGAAGAAAUUUCCACUGAUAGCAAGCUUGGAUGUUCUGUGACCUUUCCAGGAGACAUAACUCAAAAUAGACCUGAUUGGUAAUAAAAGUUAGCAGGCUCUGUGAAGUUGCCUUACAAAAAACUCUCAUGCUGAUGAAUAAAUGAGCCAGGUUACAAGAAGAGGAAAAAGAAGCCCAGCGAAAGAAGAACAAACAACCUUCAAAUGUCUAUUUUUCUUUCUUGUAGUGUUGCAGGAUGAAAAAUUGGUCUGUACAGAGUUUAGGAGAAGCAACAAAGUGGCAGCCAGAAUGGAAAUAAUGGACCACUGGGUCUUGAGAUAAUUCUUCAUCAGGUGCGCCUUCCAGAUAUUUGGUUGCCAGCUAGACUGCUUGUUAACUGUCUUAAAAAGUCUCAGGUAGCAGAAGCUAUCUGAGAGUAGCACAUCCUAGGCAAGUUUGCUAAACAUGGUAGAGACAGCUGCAUCAUCACCUAUCCAAUUUCUUACAAUCCAUCUGUGGCGAUGCUUUUCAACAUCCCCGUCAGAAUCAAUUAGGAAGUCCAUGAAUGUUACACAAUCAGUUACACAUCUGUAAUCCUCAUAGUCGGUAAGAAUGUAUUCUUCGUAUGCCACUAAAUUUCUGAAGAAAGUUUCUGUAACAUCUCCAACAGGAAAAGGAGGGAUUUUUAUUACCCCAUUUUUGAACGUAAUGCGGAGCCAUGAUAUACUUUUCUCA